rnacentral:rRNA from 1 species
AUUGAACGCUGGCGGCAGGCCUAACACAUGCAAGUCGAGCGGAUGAAGGGAGCUUGCUCCUGGAUUCAGCGGCGGACGGGUGAGUAAUGCCUAGGAAUCUGCCUGGUAGUGGGGGAUAACGUCCGGAAACGGGCGCUAAUACCGCAUACGUCCUGAGGGAGAAAGUGGGGGAUCUUCGGACCUCACGCUAUCAGAUGAGCCUAGAUCGGAUUAGCUAGUUGGUGGGGUAAGGGCCUACCAAGGCGACGAUCCGUAACUGGUCUGAGAGGAUGAUCAGUCACACUGGAACUGAGACACGGUCCAGACUCCUACGGGAGGCAGCAGUGGGGAAUAUUGGACAAUGGGCGAAAGCCUGAUCCAGCCAUGCCGCGUGUGUGAAGAAGGUCUUCGGAUUGUAAAGCACUUUAAGUUGGGAGGAAGGGCAGUAAGUUAAUACCUUGCUGUUUUGACGUUACCAACAGAAUAAGCACCGGCUAACUUCGUG